UCCGCGGUAGCUCAGCGGUAGAGCGGGUGGCUGUUAACCACUAGGUCGUGGGUUCAAAUCCCGCCCGCGGAG
rnacentral:tRNA from 1 species